GCUUGUCUCAAAGAUUAAGCCAUGCAUGUCUAAGUAUAAAUGUUAUACAGUGAAACUGCGAAUGGCUCAUUAAAACAGUUAUAGUUUAUUUGAUAUUCGAACACUACAUGGAUAACCGUGGUAAUUCUAGAGCUAAUACAUGCUUUCAAGCCCGACUCUUAGGAAGGGCUGUAUUUAUUAGAUAACAAACCAAUAUUCCUUGCGUCUAUUGUGAUGACUCAUAAUAACUGAUCGAAUCGCAUGGACCUUGUCCGCGAUACGUCAUUCAAGUUUCUGCCCCAUCAGCUUUCGAUGGUAGUGUAUUGGACUACCAUGGCUUUAACGGGUAACGGAGGAUUAGGGUUCGAUUCCGGAGAGGGAGCCUGAGAAACGGCUACCACAUCUAAGGAAGGCAGCAGG
rnacentral:rRNA from 1 species